GUGGCCUGGUGAGCUUUCUUGGAAUUCCUGCAAAAGAUGGCUGUGUGAUUGUGACAGUGUUGAAGAGCCAAGGGGCUAUCCCUUUUGUCAAGACCAAUGUUCCACAGACCAUGCUCAGCUACGACAGUAGCAACGUGAUCUUUGGAAAGACUCUACAUCCCCAAAACCCCAAGAAAAGUCCUAGGGGUUCCUCCAGUGGGGAAGGAGCACUGAUUGCUGGAGGGGGUUCCAUCUUGGGCUUGGGCAGUGAUUUGGGUGGAAGUGUCCGUGUACCUUCUAGUUUCUGUGGUAUUUGUGGUUUCAAGCCUAUAGGAUCUCGACAGAGCUUACUUGGUAU